CUGCCCUUUGUACACACCGCC
rnacentral:siRNA from 1 species